rnacentral:rRNA from 1 species
GACGAACGCUGGCGGCGUGCUUAACACAUGCAAGUCACGGGGGCUUGGGGGCGACUCUGAGCAACCGGCGAACGGGUGCGUAACACGUGAGCAACCUGCCGAUCUGUGGGGGAUAGCCGGGCUAACGCCCGGGUAAUACCGCAUACGGUUCCUGCGAGGCGUCUUGCGGGAAAGAAACCUCUGGGGCAGAUCGAGGGGGCUCGCGGCCUAUCAGCUGGUUGGGGGGGUAAUGGCCCACCAAGGCGACGACGGGUAGCUGGUCUGAGAGGAUGGCCAGCCACAUUGGGACUGAGAGACGGCCUAGACUCCUACGGGAGGCAGCAGUGGGGAAUCUUGCGCAAUGGCCGCAAGGCUGACGCAGCGACGCCGCGUGUGGGAGGACGCCUUUCGGGU